rnacentral:rRNA from 1 species
AGAACGAACGCUGGCGGCAUGCCUAACACAUGCAAGUCGAACGCUCUUGGGGCUUCGGUUCCAAGGGAGUGGCGCACGGGUGAGUAGCGCGUGGGAACCUGCCCUGGAGUGGGGGAUAACCGAGGGAAACUUCGGCUAAUACCGCAUGCGCCCGGGAAACCGGGGAAAGAUUUAUCGCUCUAGGAGGGGCCCGCGUCGGAUUAGCUAGUUGGUGGGGUAACGGCCUACCAAGGCUUUGAUCCGUAGCUGGUCUGAGAGGAUGAUCAGCCACACUGGGACUGAGACACGGCCCAGACUCCUACGGGAGGCAGCAGUGGGGAAUAUUGGACAAUGGGCGCAAGCCUGAUCCAGCAAUGCCGCGUGAGUGAUGAAGGCCUUCGGGUUGUAAAGCUCUUUCGCACGCGAGGAUGAUGACGCUAGCGUGAGAAGAAGCCCGGCUAACUUCGUGCCAGCAGCCGCGGU